UACGUAGGGACCAAGCGUUGUUCGGAUUUACUGGGCGUAAAGGGCGCGUAGGCGGCAUUGUUAGUCACUUGUGAAAUCUCCGGGCUUAACCCGGAACGGCCAAGUGAUACUGCAGUGCUAGAGUGCGGAAGGGGCAAUCGGAAUUCUUGGUGUAGCGGUGAAAUGCGUAGAUAUCAAGAGGAACACCUGAGGUGAAGACGGGUUGCUGGGCCGACACUGACGCUGAGUGCGCGAAAGCCAGGGGAGCAAACGGG
rnacentral:rRNA from 1 species